rnacentral:rRNA from 1 species
UGGGGAAUUUUGGACAAUGGGGGAAACCCUGAUCCAGCCAUCCCGCGUGUGCGAUGAAGGCCUUCGGGUUGUAAAGCACUUUUGGCAGGAAAGAAACGUCAUGGGUUAAUACCCCGUGAAACUGACGGUACCUGCAGAAUAAGCACCGGCUAACUACGUGCCAGCAGCCGCGGUAAUACGUAGGGUGCAAGCGUUAAUCGGAAUUACUUGGCGUAAAGCGUGCGCAGGCGGUUCGGAAAGAAAGAUGUGAAAUCCCAGAGCUCAACUUUGGAACUGCAUUUUUAACUACCGGGCUAGAGUGUGUCAGAGGGAGGUGGAAUUCCGCGUGUAGCAGUGAAAUGCGUAGAUAUGCGGAGGAACACCGAUGGCGAAGGCAGCCUCCUGGGAUAACACUGACGCUCAUGCACGAAAGCGUGGGGAGCAAACAGG